rfam:Myotis brandtii contig164806, whole genome shotgun sequence.
CGUGCACCGGUGGGGUCCCUCAGCUUGGCCUGCAAUCUGGGACCCCUCAAGGGAUGUCGGGGAGCCAGUUUCGGCCCAAUCCUGCAGGCCAGGCUGAGGGACCCCACAGGUGCAUG